AGACACGGCCCAGACUCCUACGGGAGGCAGCAGUGGGGAAUAUUGGACAAUGGGCGAAAGCCUGAUCCAGCAAUGCCGCGUGGGUGAAGACGGCCUGCGGGUUGUAAAGCCCUUUAGGCGGGGAGGAACGACGGGACGUGAAUAACGUUUCGGAGUGACGUUACCCGCGGAAUAAGCACCGGCUAACUCCGUGCCAGCAGCCGCGGUAAUACGGAGGGUGCGAGCGUUAAUCGGAAUUACUGGGCGUAAAGCGUGCGUAGGCGGAUGGGUCAGUCAGCCGUGAAAGCCCCGGGCUUAACCUGGGAACGGCGGUUGAGACGGCCCGUCUUGAGUGGGCUAGAGGAUCGUGGAACUCCCGGUGUAGCGGUGAAAUGCGUAGAGAUCGGGAAGAACACCGAUGGCGAAGGCAGCGAUCUGGGGCCACACUGACGCUGAGGCACGACGGCGUGGGGAGCAAACAGGAUUAGAUACCCUGGUAGUCCACGCGGUAAACGAUGAGCACUAGACGUUGGGCGGGUGACCGUCCGGUGUCGUAGCUAACGCGCUAAGU
rnacentral:rRNA from 1 species